rnacentral:lncRNA from 1 species
UUUUAUGAGUCAUGAUUAUGGUUCCAUGUUACAGUAUGCAUAUUUGGCAGCAUGCCUUAUUCUCCUCACCCCAUGUCACUUUCAGGGUUCUUCAAAGCACAUUGCCCAGAGUCAUGAAGGCAGCAUGUCUCUCAGUGUGUGUCUCCUUGGUGGUGAUGAUGAUAACGUUUGCCCCAAAGCCAAAGGAGUGGACGUGGAUGCACAGGGUAGUGUUAACGGAAUCCCUGUGUUGGAGGUCGACGUGGAGUCUUUUGAAGAAAAGCCAUGGAGAAAGCAUGACUCACACUUAACGAGGACUCCUGGAAAGCCUACUGUGAGAACCAGAGGAGAUUACGCAAGGUCAUGAACCACACUUCAGCCACUAAACUCAUGGUCCAGGAAUGGGACCUUCCCUGCUUUAGAUCUGACUACUCCUCCCCCAGCAACCACUACAAAUCAGCCUUGUCCAGUAGAAAGACAAACGGCACCACCAAUGUUACUGGAGGACAAACUGGUACCAUCAGCCGGGUAGAGGAACAGAGAAGUCACAAUAUAGAAGGAAAUAACAUCCAGGUGCUUUCCAAGCCAUCUGACGCUGAGCCUACUCCCACUAAGAUGCCCCCCUUCUUCCCCCCGCCUCCUUUCCCGCCUCCACCCUACAAUGUCAACUCCGCCCCUCCACUCAUUCCUCCACCACGUAAGUUACCUCAGCCCCUCACAGACAAACACACACACACACACAAACAUUGCUCUCUGUCUGUGUGCCCUCUGUUCAGCAGAACAGUUAUGCAAUAUAAAUGGCAAGGUUAUGGAUUGAAUAAAGACACUGCUUGAAGGUCGUGGGUCAGACAGACAGACUGGUGAGAGUCACUCUCGUGACAUCAUGGGAUGUCAAGGAAAAAUGGCGUUCAACUAUGACACUCUCUAUCUCUUCCCCUCUCUCCCUCUCUCUCUAUCUCUCUCAUUACAGUAAUGUAUCUCGACAAUCGAUACCUCGAAUAUCCUUCAACUCUUGUCAAUGUAAAAAGGGCCUUACUUUCAUUGUGUGGGUGCAUCAUUAGUACAGUUGAGGGGUUUGAGGGACCAGAUGAAAGUGUAACCUUGAGAGUUGCAGGUGUAAAUCCCAUGCUGGGAACCCAUGAAAGACAGGCACCAUAAGUGGUAAUAAAUAACACUGCAUGUCGAAGGACAUGUUUAGAUUAUUUUUAGAUGAUUUGGAGGUGAAUGCAGAUGGGUUAACAUAAACAGGUGUGUGUAAUUCUCUCCAGGUGUGUGGGUGCCAGUGCUGUCAGUCUGUCGGACUUCCUCCUCAUCGCCUGAUGAAUAUGAGGCAGAGGGCAGGAAGUCCCCCCUGGCCUGAGCUCACAGCUGAGCGCAGGCUGCCAUCGCUUCAUCUUCAAAGAUUCCAAAAUAGCACCCCUCACACACUCCCAGCACCCCCUAAGUUCAAUGAGCCCGGUACCGACAUGUUGUUCAACCUGUGCCAAAUAUCCUAAUACAACCAAAAUAUCAAACAUCCUGUUGACCCGGCAAACCUGGCUUUCCUUCUUUAAGUUACAGGCUCUGCCUCCUUUUGUGAUGCAAAUGUUCAACGUGAUAAAAAUAGCUCCUGGAAGAAAAGAAAAGUGUAGAGCCAGCAGAUUGGAGGGAGAGAGAGAGAGCUUUGUUACUCUUGGUACCAUAGGGUCACAUUAGUGGUGUAGUAUUAUUGCUUGAUAGGGCCAGGUUUUAGCGUGGGGUUGUGUUGUCAUUGCAGGCCAGUCUGUGUAGUGAAGCACUAAGGGAUGUUGUCUGGAGCUCUAGUGUAGAACUGGUGGUACUGAUCAGUGUAGUUUGGCACAUACAUUGUGGUUAGUUUGACACCUGUACUGACUGAUAUGGCUGUGACGGUCUUGGAAUUUGAGGUUGCGGUAAUUGGCCAGGCCAAUGUACAGACACCAACAUAAUCGUUCAAGGAUAUGCAUAUGCUUCCUAAUAAAACCUAUUUGAAACAAGCCAUUACACUUCGUUAUCAUCAUGGCGUUUCAUUACUAUUAUUCAGGUUAUUACUUUUAAAUAUGAAUCAACAAAUUAAGAAAUGCCAGGUUGGGGAGGAUCUGUGGGAUUUUUGUAUCGACACAUCAUCAGCUGAGUCAAAAUAAAGAUAUUCCUACCUUGUCUGUUGGCUUUUCUGCAUAUAUACACAAUCAAUCAGUCAAAUCAAAUGUAUUUAUAAAGCCCUUUUUACAUCAGCCGAUGUCACAAAGUGCUAUACGAAUUUCUUUCUUUAUUUUACCUUUAUUUAACUAGGCAAGUCAGUCAAGAACAAAUUCUUAUUUUCAGUGACGGCCUAGGAACAGUGGGUUAACUGCCUGUUCAGGGGCAGAACGACAGAUGUCAGCUCGGGGGUUUGAACUUGCAACCUUCCGGUUACUAGUCCAACUCUCUA